GAUGAACGCUGGCGGCGUGCUUAACACAUGCAAGUCGAACGGUGAAGCUCAGCUUGCUGGGUGGAUCAGUGGCGAACGGGUGAGUAACACGUGAGCAACCUGCCCCUGACUCUGGGAUAAGCGCUGGAAACGGCGUCUAAUACCGGAUAUGCACUGCGGACGCAUGUUCUGUGGUGGGAAAGAUUUUUCGGUUGGGGAUGGGCUCGCGGCCUAUCAGCUUGUUGGUGAGGUAAUGGCUCACCAAGGCGUCGACGGGUAGCCGGCCUGAGAGGGUGACCGGCCACACUGGGACUGAGACACGGCCCAGACUCCUACGGGAGGCAACAGUGGGGAAUAUUGCACAAUGGGCGGAAGCCUGAUGCAGCAACGCCGCGUGAGGGAUGACGGCCUUCGGGUUGUAAACCUCUUUUAGCAGGGAAGAAGCUUUUGUGACGGUACCUGCAGAAAAAGCGCCGGCUAACUACGUGCCAGCCGCCGCCGUAAGAC
rnacentral:rRNA from 1 species